rnacentral:tRNA from 1 species
UCCCUGAUUGCUCAGUUGGGAAAGAAUCUGCCUGCAGUGCAGGAGACCCUGGUUCAAUUCCUGGAUAGGGAA